rnacentral:lncRNA from 1 species
GAGGAUAUAAGGAAGCAGUACCACUUACUGUUGUAACAGAUGUAAAAAAAUAUGAGGAAGAAGAUGAUGGUGAUAAUGUAUCUAAAGGUACCAAUAUAAAUAGCUCUAAUCCGAAAGAGAGCAGUUUAAAUAUUUAUUUUUAUUUUUUUAAAUUUUUUUAAAAAAAUUAUUAAAAUAUGGUAACUAUUUUGUUCAGGUGUUAAUAUGUAGAAUAGUUGUUAAUGUAUAUUUACAUAUUUAUAUAAAAUUGAAAAAAGAGAAAUUGAUUUUUUAUUUUUUGCAUAAGGUAAUCAGAAAUUGUAAAACAAAAACGAAUAAAAAUUGCUAUUUUCUGUUGUUUAUCGAAUUUAUAAAAAGAAAAGAAACGAAAAUGUUAAUAGAAAAUAAUAAAAAGAAAUUUAGACAUAUAUUUUUUCAGUUUUUAACUAUUUUGGUAAAAAGUAACAUAUAUUCAGAAAUAUUGUUACUAUUACAAAUAUUAAAUUUUUUAUAUGAUAAAAUAGAAAUAUCAAUACAUAAAAAUAUAAUAUUACUAUUAUUCAGUAAGUUAACAAUGUAUAAAAAUGAUAUGUACUUAUCUGUACUAAUUAACGAAUUACUAAUAAAAAUAACAAAAACUAUUGUUAAUUUUAUUGUUAUUUUAGAAUUACACAUAUCAAAUAAAAACGAACAUACCAUAGAAUCUUUUUUGUACAUAUGGUUCUUGCAUAUCAAGCAGAAUAACAAAAAAGAAUUCCAAGCUAAAGAAAAUAUACACAGCGAAAUAUGCACUUAUGAUGCCUUUAUGUAUAAAGAAAAAUGUAAAAAAAAAAAAGAAAUACUACAGCAACGCUUACAUAGAAAAUCAUUUGAUCAAAAGUGGGUGCUCGACAAUUGCAUUAACAAGCAUGUUGAACCUACUAAAGAAGAAACCUUUGAUAAGAGGAUAUACAUUUAUGCAUAUUUAUUACUCUUUGAAAUUCUUAAUAUGUUUCAAAAUAACAUAAAAAUAAAAAAAUACUGCUUUAGUAUUUUAUUAAGUAUUAUAAAAUUUAUAUCUAUCGAGAAUUUGUUUAUAUUUGACAAGAUGAAAGAUUAUUUUAUUAAAAAUGUUAAGCAAGCUUAUUUGGACAAGUAUGUUAUAGCUUAUAGUUACCAUGUGUGUGUGAAAUAUUUUGCUACCACUGGUUGUGUUGGUUGUGCGUGUGGUUAUGAUAGUAGUAACAGUAGUGGUAGUAACAGUAGUGGUAGUAACAAUAGUGGUAGUACCAGUAGUGGUAGUAACAAUAGUGGUAGUAACAGUAGUGACAGUAACAAUGGUGAUAGUAACAGUAGUGACAAUAACAAUGGUGAUAGUGACAGUAACUGUAGUGACAGUGACAAGGGUAGUGGAGAAAAAGUUUAUAAUAUUGCAGAAUUAAAUUUAUUUACUCAAGCCAUUAUCGAUUAUGUUGACAAAGAAAAGGAAAUACUUAUAUCAUUAUGCGAUAUCAAAUGUGAUGAAAUGA